ensembl:lncRNA
CGUCACGCUGCUCGCCAGCGGAUGUGAUGGCGACCAGCUCAGGUUCAGUCUCAGGUCUAAACUCGGGUACCACCGGCUGGUCUAUCUAGACCAGCUCAUCGACCAGGGGGGUACAUGUCGUCCGAGCCGAGCGGAACCAUGCGGACGAGGAGACCCGAGCAGGAUGGAGGCGGCGGGGAAGUGGAGUAAAAACGUGAAGUUGGAGACCAAGCCGUUCCUCAAGCACCAUGGCCGAGUUGCCGUCGCCAAGAACCUCUCAGACCUCCUCAGGACCUCCUGGAGCCUGCAGAUCCCCUCCCAAUGUGCUGGUAGGUCUAACCUCCGCUUCCC